GACGAACCGUGCGAACGUUGUUCGGAAUGACUGGGCGUAAAGCGCGCGUAGGCGGACCUGCAAGUCGGGGGUGAAAUCCCGGGGCUCAACCCUGGAAUGGCCUUCGAGACUGCCGGUCUUGAGUUCGAGAGAGGUGGGUGGAAUUCCGAGUGUAGAGGUGAAAUUCGUAGAUAUUCGGAGGAACACCAGUGGCGAAGGCGGCCCACUGGCUCGACACUGACGCUGAGGUGCGAAAGCGUGGGGAGCAAACAGG
rnacentral:rRNA from 1 species